rnacentral:lncRNA from 1 species
CACCCCAGUGGCCAUCACAAUGGAAUUCAGGUCUGCGUCACAAUGCCACAGGCAGUGGGAGGCUGGUCUCUUUGUUUGGAGACCUAGUUACAGGAACUCCAGCGUCAGAGGACCCUGUUUCCUGGGGAAUGGAAAGGAGCCCAGCAGCUGAGCAGCCUCAAGAUGGAGAACUGUAGGAAGAACAAGUCUAAGGCUAGGCAAUCCAAAUCAGUCCCCAGACUUAGCGGCUGCAGGACCCAGGACUAACUCGAUAGAGUCUCCUUUCCACCAGCUCAGGGAUUGGCUGAGGGUCAGAGCCUUGGCCCCAUCAGGCAGCUGACCAGGCCUCACCUGUUAACUUAGGGGGGGAUGAAGACCCAGAGCCCGGAGCUGCCACCCACCUUCUGUUCUCACAAGACCAUGGGUCUUCAGUUUUGUGCCUUCAUUGAGUAUGUGACCCCAUUAACAGGCAGAGGACAUGUCAUCUCUGGAAGGCAAAGUUGAAGCUGCAUAUUCUUGGUAGAUGGUGUUGAGCAUGGAAACUAUUUUGUGCCUGGCCUCAGGCCCAGUUUCUAAUGAGAAAUAAAUGUCCACUG